UUUGAGCAAGAAGCAUGAAGAGUUGCAAUUGGAGUCUAAGGACAAAGAUGCACUUAUUGAGCUACUUGAAGACCGAGUGAUGAAAAGACAGAGAGAGCCAGAGGUUCCAUCUUCUAGCAUGCCUCAGCCUUCUGUUGCUUGGAAGAAGAUUGUUGAUCAGCUUGUCCUCGAGAAGACUCAGAUGAAGGCUUCUCUUGAGACCGAG
rnacentral:lncRNA from 1 species